GACAGAGGCCUCAAGCGUUAGGCGGAAUCACUGGGCUUAAAGCGUGUGUAGGCGGACGCCUAAGUACCUUGUGAAAUCCCACGGCUCACCCGUGGAACGGCUGGGUAUACUGGGGGUCUUGGGCCACUCAGGGGCGACUGGAACAAGCGGUGGAGCGGUGAAAUGCGUAGAUAUCGCUUGGAACGCCGAAGGUGAAAACAGGUCGCUGGGAGUGCGCCGACGCUGAGACACGAAAGCCAGGGGAGCAAACGGG
rnacentral:rRNA from 1 species